rnacentral:lncRNA from 1 species
AAAAACAGGUAAUUAUAACUCAGAAUAAUAUAAACUGAAUCCAAAAAAAUUGCUGCUGUAAUACAAAAAUUUGAACAAACACCAAAAGCAGACCAAAACUAAAAUCGGAGCAAACCAACUCAAACAAUGACAUACCAAAAAAAAUACUAAUGGUUGCGAGAAAUGACACACGAAAUAGUGAAUCAAUAUAGGUAACUAAAACAUGGUACAUUGAAACAUGUAUUUUUGUGUAUACACCUUUUCCCCGCCAGCACACAUGAGUAAUCAACCAUUGCCCCAGUUCUUCUUUUCUUGUAUCAAUACACACCCUAUACACAACUCAUGGUGCAGACUUAAAUAUCAGCAACGUCAAACAAUUUAAAACUGAAAGGGUCAAAAUGUACACUCCAUGAAGAUGUUCCUUGGGCCUGAUAUACGAUGAAAAUAAAAAAAAACAUAUUUCAAUUAUUGGAUACAACUUUACCUGCACCAAAGCAGUAAAUAAAUCUUUUUCUAAGAAUACAGUAAAAGACAAAGGAACAGACAACCUUAUUCUUACAUCAACUGGAAUAAGCUUUCGAAGGCGACUUAGUUGAGUUUCCAGCUCUAUAACUGGCGAUUGGAUGCCUGAAAUUCUCGACUUUAGUCAGGUGUUGUAGAUGCCGUUUUAAGAAAACAUAGCAGUUAUACUCCGUUUCAAACAAAACAGCUAAUGGUUGUAUAGACAGAAACGUGUUUAGUCAAUUUGGACGUCUCCUUUUAGUCGAGUCACUCCCGUUUCAUUCGUUUCAAGUUGUAAUUAUUCUUGUAGUCGUUAGGACUGGCCAAAAUCCUUAAUUAUUCUUCUUCAGUGGAGCAGAAGCACCUUCUUUCAUUUUCUAGUUGCUUGUUGAUAGUUUGGAAAAUCUGUCAAUUAAGAAAGCGAUUGUACCCUUCCUCCUCUUCUUACUGCCACACAGAACUCCAACUAAAUGCAGAGAGACAUAUGAUUGAACUGGAAAAUUUUCUGAACAGAAUUUUAAUUCUAAUGCUACCAAUGAAGAAGACAACUUUUAUAGUCGUGAGAGCACUUACCUUUCAGAGAACAUCUUUGCCGAUUGCUCAAAACCAAUUUUACGAGCAAGCCUAUAUUCUCUAGUACGGGAAAAGUACUCUCUUUCUAUUCUCCGAGCCUAAAUCAUGUAGACAUUCUUGUUAAAUCACCUUGGGAAUGGUUGACAACACGCACCCAUGGAUACUUGAGUCUAAGAGAUUGUCGGUUCAGAACUUUAAACAAUAAACAUUAUUUUUGAAGUCGUGAUACUCACAAUCAAUCAUAAUGCCAAAAAACAUAAAAGAGUCCCAAAGAGAGACAUAUAGUAAGGAAUCCCUUUUACCUUUUUGCUAUACGAUUAAACUACGUGUUCAUAUUUUCAGUAUCAUGCACUAUACCCUAAGAUUGUCUUCUGCAUCAACUAAAAGAACGUUUUUCUGUCAUGGUAAACUACCAAAUCUCCAAAAAGCUAAACAAAAAUACAUGAGUAAUAUCAGUUAACCAAAAAGCAGACAAUGACAGUAAAUUAUACCAAGAGCUCGAAGGAAAUAUCAAUUCAAGCAGUGAAUUUAACUCACAAUUAGAAAAUAGGCUAUGAUUGUAAUUUCCUCCACUGUUCCAUCUUCUUUUCCAAAUACAUGGUUUUGAUUCUUUAGGUAUAGCAUCGUUGGAAUUAUGAGAAUCAUAUUCUAAUUGGAAUAUUAGAGGAAACUGUUGGAGAGGAGACGAAUGGAGACAAUAGAUUUUAAACCAGCGAGAAGCAGAGUUUGGGAGGAGACAAAUCGAGACACUGGAUUUUAAAGCUUGAAUGAAUCUCUUCAAUGUUAACC